rnacentral:rRNA from 1 species
UACGGAGGGUGCAAGCGUUAAUCGGCAUUACUGGGCGUAAAGCGUGCGCAGGCGGUUUGUUAAGUCCGCUGUGAAAUCCCCGAGCUCAACUUGGGAAUUGCAGUGGAUACUGGCAAGCUGGAGUAUGGUAGGGGAAGGUGGAAUUCCCGGUGUAGCAGUGAAAUGCGUAGAGAUCGGGAGGAACACCAGUGGCGAAGGCGGCCUUCUGGACCAAUACUGACGCUCAUGCACGAAAGCGUGGGGAGCAAACAGG